UACGUAGGGUGCGAGCGUUAAUCGGAAUUAUUGGGCGUAAAGCGCGCGCAGGCGGCUUUGUAAGUUUGGUGUUUAAUCUCAGAGCUCAACUCUGAUUCGCAUCGAAAACUGCAAGGCUUGAGUACAGAAGAGGAAAGUGGAAUUCCACGUGUAGCGGUGAAAUGCGUAGAGAUGUGGAGGAACACCAGUGGCGAAGGCGACUCGCUGGGACGGUACUGACGCUGAGACGCGAAAGCGUGGGGAGCAAACAGG
rnacentral:rRNA from 1 species